rnacentral:tRNA from 1 species
GGAGAUGUAGCUCAGACGUAGAACACUUGCCUAACAUGCAUGAAGCCCUGGGUUUAAUCACCAGCACCACCA